rnacentral:rRNA from 1 species
UACAGAGGAGCCAAGCGUUGUCCGGAUUGACUGGGCGUAAAGCGCACGCAGGCGGACGCGCGCGUGGGGUGUGAAAUCUGGCCGCUUAACGGCCAGGCGCCAUCCCAUACGGCGCGUCUGGAGUGAUGCAGAGGUCGGUGGAAUUGCCGGUGUAGUGGUGAAAUGCGUAGAGAUCGGGAAGAACAUCAGUGGCGAAGGCGGCCUGCUGGGCUGUUGCUGACGCUGAGGCGCGACAGCGUGGGGAGCAAACAGG